GACGAACGCUGGCGGCGUGCUUAACACAUGCAAGUCGAACGGAAAGGCCCUGCUUGUGGGGUGCUGGUGUGGCGAACGGGUGAGUAACACACAGGUGGACUGCCCCCUUAUUUGGGUUAAGCCUGGGAAACUGGGCCUAAUACUGGCUAGAACAAUGCUGGAGGUGGUGGGGUGAAAAGAGAAGGAUGGGUUAGAGUUGAGCUCGGGGCGUGUCAGCGUGUUGGUGGGGUACUGGCCUACCAAGGCGUUGACGGGGGGCCGGCCUGAGUGGGUGGACGGCCCCGUUCGGACUGCGAUGCGGGCCAGACGCCUACGGGCGUCCGCAGUGGGGGAUAGUGCACCAUAGGCGCACGCCUGAUGCAGCGACGCCGCGUGGGGGUUGACGGCCUUCUGGUUGUAAACUCCUUACGGGCAUGUCGAAGCGCUUGUGGUGACGGUAGUGGUAGAAGAAGCCCCGGCUAACUACGUG
rnacentral:rRNA from 1 species